rnacentral:rRNA from 1 species
GAUGAACGCUGGCGGCGUGCCUAAUACAUGCAAGUCGAGCGAACGGACGAGAAGCUUGCUUCUCUGAUGUUAGCGGCGGACGGGUGAGUAACACGUGGAUAACCUACCUAUAAGACCGGGAUAACUUCGGGAAACCGGAGCUAAUACCGGAUAAUAUUUUGCACCGCAUGGUUCAAAAGUGAAAGACGGUCUUGCUGUCACUUAUAGAUGGAUCCGCGCUGCAUUAGCUAGUUGGUAAGGUAACGGCUUACCAAGGCAACGAUGCAUAGCCGACCGGAGAGGGUGAUCGGCCACACUGGAACUGAGACACGGUCCAGACUCCUACGGGAGGCAGCAGUAGGGAAUCUUCCGCAAUGGGCGAAAGCCUGACGGAGCAACGCCGCGUGAGUGAUGAAGGUCUUCGGAUCGUAAAACUCUGUUAUUAGGGAAGAACAUAUGUGUAAGUAACUGUGCACAUCUUGACGGUACCUAAUCAGAAAGCCACGGCUAACUACGUG